rnacentral:rRNA from 1 species
UACGGGGGGGGCAAGCGUUGUUCGGAAUUACUGGGCGUAAAGGGCUCGUAGGCGGCCAACUAAGUCAGACGUGAAAUCCCCAGGCUCAACCUGGGAACUGCGUCUGAUACUGGAUGGCUUGAAUCCGGGAGAGGGAUGCAGAAUUCCAGGUGUAGCGGUGAAAUGCGUAGAUAUCGGAAGGAACAUCAGUGGCGAAGGCGACUUCCUGGACCAAUACUGACGCUCAGGUGCGAAAGCCAGGGGAGCAAACGGG